AAACACACCUAUCAAAAUGAUCAAUGCUCCAAAUUCAGCAGCCAGAAGAAAGGAGGAAUUAAUAAGUCUUGAAAAGAAAACAACACUAAAAAAACGGUUGAAUUUUACCAAAGCAACACCAAGGGCAAAAUGGUCAAAAAUUGAAUCGGAAAAGAGAAAGCCAUCUCACAGCAUGUAUGUAGUAGCACCAACCAAAAACUUUGAAUUUUACCAAAGCAAUGCAAGUGACAAAAUAGUCAAAAGUUGAAUCGAAAGGGAGGAAGUCAUCUCACAGCAUGUAUGUACAACACCAUAAAGCUACUGCCUCUGUUAUUUACCCAAUUCAUCAACACCAUAAAGCGCCAGACCCCCCUCCCCUGAGAAUGCAGUCAGGAAGAAAGAGGAUCAAUUACAGCAGUUUUCUAUUGCAGGUUUGAAUCUACUGCCUCUGUUAUUUACCCAGUUGAAGGAUAGCAAUUGAAUCUCAUCAUACACUAUAUCUUUAAUGAUUAUGACAAUGAUUAAAAACUCUGGAAUUGCGUGUUUUCCAAACAGAUCAAACACUGUAUAACACAAGGCACCCAACAUUUCUAUACCUUCAGACCCCUGUUUGGAGAAGUUCACAACAUCCUCGCCUUCUCAGACAUUGAAGAUGGGGGUUUCAAGACUAGCUUACACCAUUGACAAAACCAAUUCGAGAUUCCAAAGAGACCAUAGCACAAGGCACCCUACAAUUCUACUUUCGGACCCCUGCUUACACCAUGGACGAAGUCAAUUUAUCCAUCCAAAUCAUUUGAAUCCAAGUGCAGAAACCACAAACAAAUCAUUUGAAUCCAUCCAAAUUGCACAAAAUUUAUCAACUUAAAGUCAGAUUGGUGAUUACACAAAAGUGUGAAUCCAUUUCCAUAGUAGACGCAGAGUGGUUUGAAGUGGUGGUCAGGAUCGUUGAAGUGGAUAUCAAUUAAUUAAAAGGUAUGUAUUGGUGUCUUUCCUCAUUUUUCUGUUCUAUCUUCUUCCAACAUUCCGUUUAGGAUCGCUUGUACAUGUUCCUGGCAAAAAUGUUAGUCUAAUAAAUAUCAACUGUUUGAUGAAAUGCCUCAAUGUUUUUUUUUUUAAUUUUUUUUUCUGAAUUUAAUGCCACAUCAGCUGUAUGGUAUUGGUUUGUUCAUAGUGUAGUGUAUUGAUAUUAUAGAGUACUUGAAAACAAAGAAUAUUUACAGAAAAUAAAUGAUCUCCAAGACACCCAAUACACCAAUACAGAAUGAGAGAAGUAUGAUUUCCAGGCAAUGCUAUUGACAUAUUAGCUAAUUUUACACUUAAAAUGUGAACCAGACUUACCUAUUUUUGUAGCUGUUUAAUGUUCUUAUGGUGUCUUUGGAAAAACUUGGUUAACAUUAAAUAGCAUGUCUUUGGAAAAAGCUGAUGCCCAUCAAUAUAUGUGGAGGGAGAGACCUUGUUUUAUUUCUUUCCUGAUUUGCAGUAACAAUAUUCUCAAAUGACAAUCACUUUGCAAUUUCUUCCAUGUGUAGUAGCCCGGAAUUUCAAAUAUUGAUAUAAGUAUGAUUUUGGGGGUGUUUUAAGAGGGGACUCGGCGAGUUGGAGCCUAGACUCGCCGAGUAGGAUCGCAGACUUGGUCGCGGGUUCGCGACUGGACUCGACGAGUCCAGAUAUGGACUCGGCGAGUCUACGCUGUUUAGCGAAAACCCUAACCGUUCAGGUUUGGGUCGUAUAUAACGCACUAUAUGCCGUCAUUGCCCGUCUUUUAGUCGACUGAGAAGAACCUAAGCGGCUGUGGGCAUCUAGGGCAAGAUUGAAGGCCAUUGGUGACUUGAAGAAAUUGUGGUGCAAGGAGGAGAAGAGUCUUGGCUAAAGGAACUGCAAGGGAUUCGAGUUCUAAGGUUUGGGGACACAGAGAGUGUGUUAUUCAGGUAAUAUUUCGGAUCAUUUCUGUUAUAUUGAUGUGUGCAUGGAUCUAGGGUUUAUGGAACCCAUUUGGUGAUUAGAUGGAUUAUUACUUUGUUAACCAAACGAAUAUAACCCUGUAUUAGGACCUUUAGAGGUCCAGAAGGUCCCAUGCUUGUGUAUUUCGGAACCAUAACUAUCCCAGGAUGCAGUUUGAGCGGUUGCAUGGCAUGGACUCGCCGAGUUCGAUGAACAGACUCGGCGAGUAGCUUGAAGAUUAACUGGGACUCGUCGAGUUGUUCUUCAGACUCGGCGAGUUGAGUCGGGGUGGCCCCGCGAUUCUUCCAGGAGGAACUCGUCGAGUAAAAAGGGGAUACUCGACGUGUAGAAAGGGAAUCUUAAGGAAUCGGUGAGUCAAGGGCGAGUGGACUCAGAGUCGUUGAACUCGGCGAGUCUUGGGGUGACUCGGCGAGUUAGGUCGCGGGUUAAGUGAAGUUCUGAGUAUGGGGACUCGGCGAGUCAUAGGGUUGACUCGGCGAGUAGGGUCAGUCAGGGGUUGACUUUGACCUUGUCUUUGACCAAGGAUUGACCAGUGGUUCCAGGGGUAUUUUGGUAAUUGUUGUUUAUUGUUUGAGUUCAGUGCAUUGGUGACUGUCCAGAGGUGGAGAUCGUAUCAGUGAUCGGAGCAGCUUGAGCUAUCUGUUCAGUCGGCAGUUUCGAGGUGAGUUAUCCUCACUAUAUCGCUAGGGUUUAUGGCACUAAGGCCGACCCUUUUAUCGGAUGGAAAUCCGAGUAGUUGUCAUUACAUGUUAUGGGCCGGAAGGCGUUGCUAUGUGGACCGGAAGGUCAUGGCCUGGAAAAGCGUAUGUAUGCAUUUAGUAUGUUGACUGGUUAUAGGGUAAUGUUAUGAUAGUGACCGGCUAGACCGGUAUCUUGUUAGAGUAAUGCUAUGAUAUGUGAUCUGUUGAUCGAUUGUUGUCUAUGAACUGCUAUAUGAUUGCUUGUUAGAUUAUAUGUGCAUUUUAUGCUUAUGGGCCGGAAGGCAAUAUGUUAUGGGCCGGAAGGCGAUUAUGUUGUGUGAUGGACCGGAAGGUCGGCGUGGGUAGGACCGGAAGGUUUACCCAGCAGGGACGGAAGUCCCCUGAGACACAUGGACCGGAAGGUCAGGGCCUGGAAAGGCGUAUAUGUGGUUGGUAUUCUGGGGGUAUCUCACUAAGCUUUCGGGCUUACAGUUGUGGUUUUAUGUUUCAGGUUCUCAAGAGUCUGUGGCAAGGCAAAGGCGUGAUCGUACCAUUCCUCGCGUUGGUGUUUUAUGAUAUGAACCUGGGAAAUUACUCUGUUUAAUGAUGUAUUGAAAACCUUUUUGUAACAAUGUUAAUAAAAUGGGUGAUUUUGAAAAAUUUUAAUUGUUUUGAAAUUUUGGAUGUUACACCAUGAUCCAUUGAGUAUCCAUGAAACUACUAGUGUCAUUUUGGUGCUAGCUACCAAUAAACAUGGAAUGGAGAUUCAGAUGAAGAAGCUUUUUAUACUUGCAUUAAUUAAUAAGAUUACAUCUAACA
rnacentral:lncRNA from 1 species